GUUGUAUCAGUUCCCUGGGUCUCUGGAGACUUAGCCAGGAAGCAGGGCCUCCACAGGAGUCUCAAAGGAGGCCCCCACCUCCCUCCUGCCUCCUGGAAAGACUCAGAAAUGGGGGGGAGCAGGAAGUAGCCACCUUGUGAUGGUUUUUAAAUUCCCUGGAGAUCUGAGGCUCCCCACAUUUGCAGAGAACUCAGGGCACCGCGGGCCUGGACAAAAUCUGUUCCUGAAGCAACAUGAACACGUGUGCUGGAGCACCCAUGUGCUGGCUUCUGCCUGCGACGGUCCAGGAUGCUUCUUCGAGAGGGCUCGCCGGGUGCUAAGGAGUGGACCACAGGGAGAAGACGUGAAGGAAACAGCAGUGGGAGCCACAGGCUGAACCUCGGAGGGCGAGGAAGAGUGAACACAGGGCAGAAGCAAAGGAGCCCGUCCUGGGAAAGUCACGUUCAGAAACCCUGCGAGUCAGCCUGUGGAGGAGCAGCAAGGCCUGCCGGGGAGCCUGGUGCCCAGGAUGGACGCGGGCUCUGCCCGAGGGACCCGGGUCGUCAUCCUGUGAGGGGCCGCCCAGCGUGUCACUGGUGUGUGCAUAGCGUGUCACUGGUGUGUGCAUAAGUCUGAGCAGUGCACUCGCCAGGCCCCUGAAAGCCAAUAAAAGAAAAGCCACAAGUAUAAGGGAAUCGUGAGCUUCCUUUUUAAAAUUAAAAACGCCUUCGGCUGCAUUAAAGCAAUAAGAAUGCUUGGAAUUUAAAUGAAGUUUGUGAGAGCCCUGGAAAGACCAGGGGACUUAGAGCCUGAAGACCCAGCUUAAUGUUUGAAUUUUGCUACUUAUUUUAUGACUGUUUUGACAUUUACUUAAAUUCUCAGAGUCUCCAUUUCACCUUUAAAGUUGGGAUAAUAAAAAUGGCAGCAUGGAA